GUUAUGUAACACUCAAAUUUAGCAUACUUCACCCCGUGUCAUCAUAUGCCCUGCCCCCUCACUUCAUGUACCACCUUUCAGCGACAUUUAUUUCAUUAUUUUAGAUUUUUAAAAUCCUGUCUUACAAACCAUAUGAGCCUACCACAAAUGUAUACCCCACUCAUCAACACCACAUCUUGUCAGUAGACAAGCAAUUUUAAAUUUUACCAUUGUUUAAUAUUGUGUAAAUACAACUUGUCAACAUCCCUAUAACACUGUAUAGGGGGUUAUUUUCGCAUGUGUUAUUUUCAACCUUUUACACAAAUGUUUACCCCACCCAUCAACACCACAUCUUGUCAGUAGACAAGCAGUUUUAAAUUUUACCAUUGUUUAAUAUUGUGUAAAUACAACUUGUCAACAUGCCUAUAACAUUGUAUACAGGGUUAUUUUCAACCUCUUACACUUUCAGACAGUUUUGUCCCAUCUGGAAUUCAACCAGACAGAGUUAAAAUAGAUGCUCUUUCUAAUCAAAACAGUUAUUUUAAGAAUUAUCCCAGUCUUACAUUCCACAGCUGACAACAAAGGAGAAAGGGGCGAAAAUAAAACAGGGACGAAUACUGCCUUGUAUACAGUACAUAGUCAUGGGACUGACCAUUCUAAUAAUUAUUCUAUAUGUGAUAAAUAGAGCUGUCAUAGGAGAUAUUGUAUAGAAAUGAUACAUUGAUACCAUUAUGUAUUAUGGUCAAUGUUUUGCUCUGGUGCUAUGUACGAGUAUGUAUGAAAUGUAUUUUAACAAAUUCAAUGGAAAAUGAUUUUACCAAGACCUUUAAAUUUGAUAUGCAAGUUAAAAGAACUUUCAUUAUGACAGUGAUCAUAUUGAUGUUACAUUUAUAAGAAAAUAAGUAUGAAUUUUUUAUGUUUUGUUUAAAUUGAAUGUGAAAUAUUUAUUUUAAAAGUAAAAACAAUACUUUCAGAAAUUAUUUUCACAAGUUUAAGUUUUAUGGUUUUUGCAUUUUUUUAAUGAUAAAACAUGAAAAGUGUUUUUAUUGUUUGGUAGAAUGAGAUUUGUUUAAUUUUAAUUUGUUGUCUUUAGGAACAGUUUUAUUCAUUAGUCACCAAAAUGGUGUCUACUUGUAUAUCAUUGAAAUAAGUUGUUGAAUGAAAUGGUUGUUAUAAAUAUAUACUGUGAAGAUGCCAGUUACUGAGAGAAUUAUCAUGUGUUUUGUUUCAUACUCACACUUUGUAAAUACUAAUGUGUUCUGUCUAUUUGGAACACAAUGUCAUUUGUUUCUUAUAAAAUUAUCUUGUAUAUAACUUGUCAAAUUGGAACAUUUUGAGAGUUUACUCAGUGCUUUUUAUUAAGUUUUCUUUGGAACUAUGACUUGUUUAUAAGUUUGCAGUUUUUAAUAUAUCAUCGUCAUAUGUUAUUAUUAUGAUAAAAGAAAAAUAUAUUUUAUCUUGCAAAAAUAAAUAGUAAG
rnacentral:misc_RNA from 1 species